GCGGCGCCGGCGGGGCGGCUGCCGUUGGGGCCGGCGGCCUUUUGGGCGGCGGCGAGGCCGGCCUGGCAGGGAGGGAGGAGGGACCGGCGGAGGGAGAAGCGAACGCGUCGCCGCCGGCCUCAGGCACAGGAG
rnacentral:ribozyme from 1 species